rnacentral:pre_miRNA from 1 species
UGGACAAAUUAUUGUAUUCGACUGUAUUCACGACGUGAAACAGGGGAUUACACUGUUUUUAAACGGAAAGUGAAUCAAUAAAAUCAUAAUAGAAUCCC